UACAGAGGAGCCAAGCGUUGUCCGGAUUGACUGGGCGUAAAGCGCACGCAGGCGGGUGUGCGCGUGGGGUGUGAAAUCUGGCCGCUUAACGGCCAGGCGCCAUCCCAUACGGCACGCCUGGAGUGAUGCAGAGGUCGAUGGAAUUGCCGGUGUAGUGGUGAAAUACAUAGAGAUGUCAUAGAACACCGAUUGCGAAGGCAGCUCACAAAACUGUAACUGACACUGAGGCUCGAAAGUGCGGGGAUCAAACAGG
rnacentral:rRNA from 1 species